rnacentral:rRNA from 1 species
UACGUAGGGGGCAAGCGUUGUCCGGAUUUAUUGGGCGUAAAGAGCGUGUAGGCGGCCAGACAGGUCAGCUGUGAAAACUCGAGGCUCAACCUCGAGACGUCGGUUGAAACCAUCUGGCUAGAGUCCGGAAGAGGAGAGUGGAAUUCCCGGUGUAGCGGUGAAAUGCGCAGAUAUCGGGAAGAACACCCGUGGCGAAGGCGGCUCUCUGGGACGGUACUGACGCUGAGACGCGAAAGCGUGGGGAGCGAACAGG